rfam:Oceanobacter sp. HI0075 HI0075_c13, whole genome shotgun sequence.
AACCAUUCUCGGGGCGGGGUGCAAUUCCCCACCGGCGGUAUAGCCCGCGAGCGCCUGUUAAACAGGGUCAGCAGAUCUGGUGAGAUUCCAGAGCCGACGGUCACAGUCCGGAUAUGAGAGAGAGACG